rnacentral:rRNA from 1 species
UGCCUACGGGACGCAGCAGUGAGGAAUAUUGGUCAAUGGGCGCGAGCCUGAACCAGCCAAGUCGCGUGAGGGAUGACGGCCCUACGGGUUGUAAACUUCUUUUGCCGGGGAGCAACGGGCGCCACGUGUGGCGCCACUGAGAGUACCCGGAGAAAAAGCAUCGGCUAACUCCGUGCCAGCAGCCGCGGUAAUACGGAGGAUGCGAGCGUUAUCCGGAUUUAUUGGGUUUAAAGGGUGCGUAGGCGGUCCGUUAAGUCAGCGGUAAAAUUGCGGGGCUCAACCCCGUCGAGCCGUUGAAACUGGCA